GAUGAACGCUAGCGGCAGGCCUAACACAUGCAAGUCGAGGGAGAAGCCCUUUCGGGGGCAGAAACCGGCGCACGGGUGCGUAACGCGUAUGCAACCUACCUUUCACAGGGGGAUAGCCCGAAGAAAUUUGGAUUAAUACCCCAUAAUAUUAUUGGAUGGCAUCAUUUGAUAAUUAAAACUGCGGUGGUGAAAGAUGGGCAUGCGUCCUAUUAGCUAGUUGGAGUGGUAACGGCACCCCAAGGCUACGAUAGGUAGGGGUCCUGAGAGGGAGAUCCCCCACACUGGUACUGAGACAGGGACCAGACUCUUACGGGAGGCAGCAGUGAGGAAUAUUGGUCAAUGGUCGGAAGACUGAACCAGCCAUGCCGCGUGCAGGAAGAAUGCCUUAUGGGUUGUAAACUGCUUUUAUAUGGGAAGAAUAAGGCGUACGUGUACGUUGAUGACGGUACCAUAUGAAUAAGCAUCGGCUAACUCCGUG
rnacentral:rRNA from 1 species